GUGUGCUGCACGAAGAUUAACCCUGCUGUGUGCAGCUUUGUUUCUGUGGUGACCACAUGUGCUUCUUUCCUUGGAAAUGCCUCAAUUUGCUGUGCUGGAUUUGUUAGAGUGUGGGCCAUUUCUGGGAAGAUCAGUGUGCUAGAGUGUGCCUACCAAGGGGCUGGGACCAGAUCUGGGGAAAUCUGCCCCUCCUUCAGCAGGCUGUUCCACCAAAUGCCCACACCAGCACUGGGUCCUGCAGAGUGACCUGCACACACCUCAUCCCACCAAUAAACAUUCAGUCUCACCGUUGGGUCUGUGUCUGUCUGGUCUGCACAUCCUGCGUCUAACUGGCCUGUGUCACAUGGAACGCCCCUUGAGGGCAGGGUGCAUGAGUGUGCCUGACUGUGUGUGUCCCUGUGCCAGUUUGUCACUGAAGUGCUCUGGCUAGAACUCCUCUGCAAUGUUGCAUAUUUU
rnacentral:lncRNA from 1 species